rnacentral:rRNA from 1 species
UACGAAGGGUGCAAGCGUUGCUCGGAAUCACUGGGCGUAAAGCGCACGUAGGCGGAUCUUUAAGUCAGGGGUGAAAUCCUGGAGCUCAACUCCAGAACUGCCUUUGAUACUGGGGAUCUCGAGUCCGGAAGAGGUGAGUGGAACUCCGAGUGUAGAAGUGAAAUUCGUAGAUAUUCGGAAGAACACCAGUGGCGAAGGCGGCUCACUGGUCCGGUACUGACGCUGAGGUGCGAAAGCGUGGGGAGCAAACAGG